rnacentral:rRNA from 1 species
UACAGAGGGGGCAAGCGUUGUUCGGAAUUACUGGGCGUAAAGGGCGCGAUAGGCGGCCUUCUAAGUCGAACGUGAAAUCCCCGGGCUCAACCCGGGAACUGCGUCCGAUACUGGAAGGCUUGAAUCCGGGAGAGGGAUGCGGAAUUCCGAGGUGAGCGGUGAAAUGCGUAGAUAUCUGGAGGAACACCGGUGGCGAAGGCGGCAUCCUGGACCGGUAUGACGCGUGAGGCGCGAAAGCCAGG